rnacentral:rRNA from 1 species
UGGGGGAUAUUGCACAAUGGAGGAAACUCUGAUGCAGCGACGCCGCGUGAGGGAAGAAGGUCUUCGGAUUGUAAACCUCUGUCUUCGGGAACGAAUAAAUGACGAUACCCGGGGAGGAAGCCACGGCUAACUACGUGCCAGCAGCCGCGGUAAUACGUAGGUGGCGAGCGUUGUCCGGAAUUACUGGGUGUAAAGGGUGCGCAGGCGGGCCGACAAGUUGGAUGUGAAAUCGCCGGGCUCAACCCGGAACGCGCAUUCAAAACUGUUGGUCUUGAGUGAGGUAGAGGCUGGCGGAAUUCCCGGUGUAGCGGUGAAAUGCGUAGAGAACGGGAGGAACACCAGUGGCGAAGGCGGCCAGCUGGGCCUUUACUGACGCUGAGGCACGAAAGCAUGGGUAGCAAACA